GUCGAGAGGGCGGAGAAUGCAAUACCCUUCGGGGGAAUAAUCCCGACCGACUUUUGGCGGUUUUCGAACCUCUCGGCACCCUAUG
rnacentral:ncRNA from 1 species